AUCACGUUCGUCUGUGCUCACUAUAAAUAACCCUCAUCCCUCACCAAUACCUACCCACUCCUAAAUAUGUAGUAUAUAAGUAGGGCUAUUUACGGAAAAGAAAUUAAAAUUAUUUUUUUGUAGAGAAGGAGAGAGGAUUUUUAGUUACCGGCGGUCUCUAAUUCGCUUGGUGCAGGUCGGGAACUGAUUCGGCGAUUUGAUUGCCAGAUGGCUAAACACGAUUGGCUGUGAGGCAAAUUAUAAAAAGAAAGAGAAUUGGAUCCCGCCUUGCAUCAACUGAAUCGGAGACCGCGGUGAAGACGACGCCGCCGCCGAAGCAGAGGCAGCAGCGUUAGAUCUCUAUAGCGUGCUCUUUAUAUCUCAAUCAGAUCUCAGGUCUUCUCAUAUUUUUACUACAAGAAAAGGAGAAUUUUAUUUUGAUUUGAUUACUUAUAAUAGAUCUUGGCCCUCUUGUGGUUGAAUCGAAUACACUGUAGUUGUUCUUUGUUAGAUCUUGGCUUCUUAGCUUCUUUUUUUUUAAUUUAAUAUACGAUUUUAGGUUAGAAGUCUCAUUCUCAAGUCAUAAUUUACAAGUUAAUUAUUUUUUGAAAAGUCAAGCUUUUAUUUAAUGCUACUAAGCGUGUUGAAUCCUUUCAAUCUAUUGUGUGAGCAUUUUGGCAUGAACGGCGAAUAUGUAAUUUCUCCAUGAUGUGUAAUUAGCGAUUUUAUUGUAAUUUAGAUCUUAUAUAAUUCAUAGAUGGUUGUGGGUAUAAUUUCAAAAAAUAAAUGAAUAAAUGGUAUGAGCAAAUAUUUAAUAGCAAUGUAGAAAUAUUUUUUUGUAUCUUAGGUCCAAGGAGGAGCCAAACAAGGUUUAAAAUGUUUCCUUGGAAAUCUGCCGACCAAACACAGAUGGCUUUGAGAAUUACAUUCCUGAGAUUGUGAUCUGAACCCCAUAUUCAAUAUGUCCUUUAAAUUAAAUACCUGCAAGGAAUUCUAGCUUUCUAGCUAGACCACAAAUUUUUACCUUUAUUGUCAAUUGGCAUAUGUAAGUGCAUGGAAAAUGCUAUGCAGGUGGUGGUUAGGUGUUUGGGAGAGAGGAUGGGUAGAGAGGUUGCUAAUAAAUGCCUGAUUCUCUACUCUGCCGAUUUUUUUAUGUGUGCGUGGUUGCUUCAAUGUCUUAAGAAUUUAUGCUUUGUUUUGAAUUCAUUUUUGGACCAGCCUCCUAAUUAUUCCAUUUAGAAAAGUAUAGCUUUUUGUCGAAAAUAAGUUUCCAUUUCCUCUUUUGGAAAUGUACUUUUUUCUCCGAAAUUUUCCAGGGAAUAAAUGCUGAUCCUUCAUCUCUAAUGCUGGAGGUAUCUACUUGAUAAAGUCUUUUAUUCCAAGUUGUUCAAGAACUUGCUUGAAUAAUCAACAUUACUUUAUCUUUUCAGUGAAUAGUUGUUAAUUGAGCUUGUGUCCAACACAUGCAGUGAAAAGCUUAAGUGAAAUGAUAGGGCUGUUGUAAUAUGGACCUGCUCAUAAUUUAUUUCUGCUGGUGCUUUGCAGUUUUUGAAAAAAUAGUUUUGGUUAGUGAUACACAGAUAAUGAUUCAAUGUUAAGAGUGUAAUUUGGAUAGAAACAAGGUAUGAGAGACUACAAUUAGUAAAGCCAUCUGUAUGCUUACUGGUACUGUGAAGACUGAAAUGCCAGCAGCUCCUCGCCCUCUCUUAUUUUAUUACGUAUCGGAACUUUUAGCAUUCAAUAGAACAUAUAUAGUCUGCCCAUAAGUUAGUCCUUCACUGUGAAGUGAGGAACAUUACAAUCACAGAUUUUGGCAGCCGUGGUACUUUUGCAGGUACACAUGCCAAUUCUCCAUGGGCAAGGACUCAGUUUCUUGCUGAAUGAUUUACCUUUGCAGCAUCUCUGAAGAAUUCUACCAUUCAAACAGGUUAUGGGGGCCAAGCCAAGCUCGAUAUGGGCGAUUCUGCUGUCUGUAGCUCCUGCUAGCAAGCUCCAUUUUCUGAUUGGAAUGAGGUCAUGGAUGGCUUUAGGUCUUACAACAGAGAGAGAAUCCAAUGUGAAAAGCCUGAACUUACUCUGAAGGGUUGCCACAUUGUCUCUCUUGUUGCUGCCCAAAUUGUCAAGGUAUCUUUUUUUCGCUCAUCAUCUAGUCAUCCCAUUUGGUGUUUAUUUGUCAACACUCUUGGCACAUUAUAUAUGUAAUUAUUUAAUUUUUGUCC